rnacentral:rRNA from 1 species
GCCAGACUCCUACGGGAGGCAGCAGUGGGGGAUAUUGCACAAUGGGGGAAACCCUGAUGCAGCGACGCCGCGUGAGUGAAGAAGUAUUUCGGUAUGUAAAGCUCUAUCAGCAGGGAAGAAAAAAGACGGUACCUGACUAAGAAGCCCCGGCUAACUACGUGCCAGCAGCCGCGGUAAUACGUAGGGGGCAAGCGUUAUCCGGAUUUACUGGGUGUAAAGGGAGCGUAGGUGGCGUGCCAAGUCAGGAGUGAAAACCCAGGGCCCAACCCUGGGACUGCUCUUGAAACUGGCAGGCUUGAGUGCUGGAGAGGUAAGCGGAAUUCCUAGUGUAGCGGUGAAAUGCGUAGAUAUUAGGAGGAACACCAGUGGCGAAGGCGGCUUACUGGACAGUGACUGACACUGAGGCUCGAAAGCGUGGGGAGCAAACAGGAUUAGAUACCCUCGUAA